CUAGCCGUACUCCGAAUGCAUNCCGAUGGGUUUGAAUGAUCAUGGCUCAGAUUGACCGCUGGCGUAAGGCCUAACACAUGCAAGUCGAGCGGAUAGAUGGGAGCUUGCUCCCGGAUUCAGCGGCGGACGGGUGAGUAAUGCCUAGGAAUCUGCCUAGGUAGAUAGGGGAACAACGUUUCGAAAGGAACGCUAAUACCGCAUACGUACCUACGGGAGAAAGCAGGGGACCUAUCGGGACCUAUGCGCUAUCAAGAUGAGCCAUAGGUCGGAUUAGCUAGUUGAGUGAGGGUAAAGGCCUACCAAAGGCGAACGAUCCGNUAACUGGU
rnacentral:rRNA from 1 species